GUUUCUGUGGUGCAGCGGUUCUCACGUUCCCCUCACACGCGAAAGGUCCCGGUUCGAAACCGGGCAGGAACA